CUGUUCUUGCUGCGCUGCUGUGUGCCAGCACUGUCAACUGUGAGUGCGCGUGUACCCGCAUCCUUGACCCCGUCUGUGACACCGCCGGCAACUACUACGACAAUUCGUGCCUGUUGAACUGUGUUGAGGGUGCCGUCCAGGCCGCGGAGGGCGCCUACACUGUCAGUGGAACCUCCUGUGUUGCUGCUAGGAAGUAGAUGACCUUCACCUUUGACGACAUGGAACGUCUCCGAAUAAAGAAGCACAUAUUGCCUGUGCAAUAAAAUAUAGAAGCAA